AAGGAAAGGGAUAUACCAUAAGCACAAAGAUUUGCUCCCAGAAAGGUAUCAGUUUUUGGAAGGAGACAUCCACAGUUGACAUGUACUUAAACCCUUGAAAGGCAUGCUUAAGAUUUUCAUUGCAAUGAGUCAUUUCUGCUGGUACAAGAAAUGCAGGCUGCUGCGAGUACAAAGAUGAUCAGAGGUACAACUGAUUACAUUUGUUACAAAAAUGGCUUCUGGUGACUGGUGGUGAUUGUUGAAGAGUCUUCUUGCUACUGCUGAUCGCUUCCCUGGACUGUCUGAGCUCAUACUUGGCCGCAGUCAGCUCGUUCUUCAGGUUCUUGAUUUUCAGCGUAUCCCUGACCUUCUCGAGAUCCCUGAUCUUCUCUUCAAUCAGAUGCACAUCCUCAUGGUCAGACCAAACUCCUGAUGGUGCUAGAGCACAGGACAGGUUAUCUGGUAAUGGUGGAGCUGAAGGUGCAGUGUGCCCCAUUCUUGAACUGCUUCCCAAAACCAAUAUAAUUUUCUGCAAGUAGAUAGUUGUUCAAUUAGAGGUGUGGAAAUAUCCUGUCAUGGUAUUUUCCCAAUACCUUGUCAUCAUGUCCUGUCUGAUACAGUUUGAUAUUUGUUCUAUUUGUGUACCAAGCACACAGUACACAUGAUCACUGUGACUGGAAAUAGGAACCCAGACACUCCCUGAACAGUUUAAAACUGCCAGCCAUUCAAGUUUGCUGUUUGGACCUGCAGAUUUUUUUUUUUACAUGGUUUUUGUCCCAAUACAUUUUCAUCAUCCUCUGUUUCAUACAGUUUGAUCUUUGUUCUAUCCUUCUAGCAAGCAGACAAUACACAUUGAUCACUGUGGAAACAGGGAACCAGUCACUCCUGAACUGUUAAAAAACUGUCAGCCAUUCAAGUUCAGUUUUUGACAUGUAGAUUUAUCAGUUCUUACAUGUUUUUCAGACAAUAUCUUCUAAGACUAUUACUUCAUGCACGUUGAUCUGUGUACGAACAAUCUGCUAAUAGAGGAGGGAUACGUACCUGUUUAUGAUUUUCAACUGGUGGAUCAGGGCAGAAAAUCUUGACAUCUUUCCUUGUCUUCCUCUUCAGCCACUGGGAAACCUCUGUGGGGUUCACCUGCCCUGCCACAGCCACAACCCCAGUGUCGACAUCUCCCACCGAUGUCUCGACUCCUGUUGAACCGAAAUUCAGGUAAAAUGACCAAGAACACAGCCGAUCAAAAUAUUCUCAGAAUGAACAAAGAGGGGUCUGGGAGGCCGUGCAUACCCCUGAAGCUCCCGAUGGAGGCCAUGGCCUUCUCGACCUUGCCGACGCAUCCCAUGCACCGGCACUGCAUGUCGACCUGGAGGCUGAACCGCCUGUUCUCGGCUCUCUCCUGCGAAGAUCCACAGCUAUCUGGUCAGGUAUGAUGGGAGCAGCAGAACCCAUGUAUAGAUCAGAGAAGAUAAAGGUGAGAGAUUCGUCACCAUUGCCAUGUCUGGGUUCAGACUUGAGAGGUUGCAGGCUUCGA